GGGAGGCAGCAGUGGGGAAUAUUGCACAAUGGGGGAAACCCUGAUGCAGCCAUGCCGCGUGUGUGAAGAAGGCCUUCGGGUUGUAAAGCACUUUCAGUAGGGAGGAAGGUAGUGUAGUUAACACCUGCAUUAUUUGACGUUACCUACAGAAGAAGCACCGGCUAACUCCGUGCCAGCAGCCGCGGUAAUACGGAGGGUGCGAGCGUUAAUCGGAAUUACUGGGCGUAAAGCGCAUGCAGGCGGCCUGUUAAGUCAGAUGUGAAAGCCCGGGGCUUAACCUCGGAAUUGCAUUUGAAACUGGCAGGCUAGAGUCUUGUAGAGGGGGGUAGAAUUUCAGGUGUAGCGGUGAAAUGCGUAGAGAUCUGAAGGAAUACCAGUGGCGAAGGCGGCCCCCUGGACAAAGACUGACGCUCAGAUGCGAAAGCGUGGGGAGCAAACAGGAUUAGAUACCCUGGUAGUCCACGCCGUAAACGAUGUCUACUUGGAGGUUGUGGCCUUGAGCCGUGGCUUUCGGAGCUAACGCGUUAAGUAGACCGCCUGGGGAGUACGGUCGCAAGAUUAAAACUCAAAUGAAUUGACGGGGGCCCGCACAAGCGGUGGAGCAUGUGGUUUAAUUCGAUGCAACGCGAAGAACCUUACCUACUCUUGACAUCCAGAGAAGCUUGAAGAGAUUCGAGUGUGCCUUCGGGAACUCUGAGACAGGUGCUGCAUGGCUGUCGUCAGCUCGUGUUGUGAAAUGUUGGGUUAAGUCCCGCAACGAGCGCAACCCUUAUCCUUGUUUGCCAGCACUUCGGGUGGGAACUCCAGGGAGACUGCCGGUGAUAAACCGGAGGAAGGUGGGGACGACGUCAAGUCAUCAUGGCCCUUACGAGUAGGGCUACACACGUGCUACAAUGGCAUAUACAGAGGGCAGCAAGACCGCGAGGUGGAGCGAAUCCCAGAAAGUAUGUCGUAGUCCGGAUCGGAGUCUGCAACUCGACUCCGUGAAGUCGGAAUCGCUAGUAAUCGUGGAUCAGAAUGCCACGGUGAAUACGUUCCCGGGCCUUGUACACACCGCCCGUCACACCAUGGGAGUGGGCUGCACCAGAAGUAGAUAGCUUA
rnacentral:rRNA from 1 species